rnacentral:misc_RNA from 1 species
UGGAGGUUGGAGCCCUGGUGG